CUGGGGUACUGUGCGAUAAACGAAUACCCACUAGACUAAAAGGUAAGUUCUAUAGAACUGCUAUUAGACCAGCGAUGUUGUAUGGGACGGAGUGUUGAACAGAGUGUUGAGCAACCAAGAAACAAAAUGUCGAUAAGAUGAGUGUUUCUGAGAUGAGGAUGCUAAGGUGGAUGUGUGACAAAACUAAAUAAGACAAAAUUAGGAAUGAGUGUAUUCGGGAAUGGGUAGGAGUAGCACCGAUAGAAGAUAAGUUGAGAGAGAAUCGAUUGAGAUGGUUUGAUCAUCUUUAACGGGGACCAAUAGAGGGAGUAAUGAAGAGAUGCAGUGCAGUGAUGAUAGAUGGAAGUGUUAGGAGACCGGAUAGGCUUAGAUUAACGUUGGCUAGCAUUGUAAAUAGAGAUAUGGAUCUAUUUAAUUUGACUAACGAAAUGACAUUUGAUAGAGCCACGUGGAGAAGAAGGAUUUAUAUAGCCGACCCCAUUUGAUGGGACUUAAGGCUUAGUUUGGUUUGGUUAUAUAUACAUAUAUAUAUAUAUAUAUGUUUUUAACAGUUCAAUAUGAAAAUCUUAUUGCUUAUGUUAUAACACUAUACCGGUGACAAAAUCACUGGAAAGUAUCUGUUAAUACCAAUCAUUUGUAAGCAAGGUUGUCAAGAUCGCGAUCCGGAUCGUAGGAUCGUACGAUCCUACGACUCAAUAUACACCAUUCAAUCCGACUCGUACUUUGGAUCGACCCCAGAUCAGGAUCGUGGUGGGAUCGUUCUGGGAUCGGUAGGAUCGAAUCUGGAUCGCGACUCCAUGCGAUCCAGAUUUGAAGGAUUUUUUUGGCCACUUAAAAGCAAAAUCGGGAGCAGAAGCGAGAGAAGUAGAGAAGCAAAGCAACAGAAGCCUCACCUACUGCGAUUAGGGCAAUACGAAUUGGGGAAAGAGAGAUUCAACAUCAAACAGAGAGAAGCCUGACCUGCUGCGAGCCUGCGACUCCAUCCAGUAGGAUCUUACGAUCCUCGAUCCGAUCCGACAGACCCCCAAAACGAUCCUGUGUAGGAUCCCGAUCUUAACAACCUUGUUUGUAUUACUGCUUCUUGGUGCCCUUGACACUUCCUAUUCUUCUUGUUGCUGUAUAUUUUCAUUGGCUGAGUAUGAAAUUUUUCAAGCAUGCAUGAUUUUAUAUUCACAAGGUCAAAGACUGUCUGCUAUUAGUGUGUUUGAUAUAUGGUUCAUAAUGUAUUUAUCUUUGCACAUUUUGUAUUGGAUUUUCUUUCAAUGAUAGUGACUUGUUGGGAUAGAUCUUAUACACGUGGAGAAAGAAGCUGGGGGCAAAAUUGUAAUUGUAGCCAUGCUUUUUAAAUUUUUUUUUUCUUAAGUUUGUAUGAUGCAAUUAUUUUAGAUUCCCACCAUUUUCGCAA